UGGAAUCGCUAGUAAUCGCAGAUCAGAAUGCUGCGGUGAAUACGUUCCCGGGUCUUGUACACACCGCCCGUCACACCAUGGGAGUCGGAAAUGCCCGAAGCCGGUGGCCAAACCAAUAAGGAAGGAGCCGUCGAAGGCAGGUCUGAUAACUGGGGGUGAAGUCGUAACAAGGUAUC
rnacentral:rRNA from 1 species